rnacentral:lncRNA from 1 species
CUGGAUAAACUGGUCCUGACCAGGCAGAAACUCACUUGCUUAGUGAGGGAUCCAAGAAUUGCCAGGCAGCGUGGGUACGAAGGGAUAGGUUAUGAGGAGGACUCCAGCCCCCCACCUUCCCAGCGUUCAGAAGGAGGAAUUUAUUAUCUACAUUCAGAGUUCAUCAAAACAAGGUUCCCGUCGUCCUCAAAGAGCUGAGAGUUCUCUUGCCAUGUAUGGCCUGCCACAGGACUUGCACCACAAAAUACCAGAGGACUCCUUACCCAACCUCACAUGUUCUCAGGGCCUGGCCCAGGAAAACUAAAGGUUCCAGUUCUAGAACUGGAGGGAUAAACUGACAGGCAAACAAAGAGAGGAAAAGAAGGAACGAGUCCAGAGAGAAAAGCUACAAAAGGAAAAAAACCAAACCAAAGAGCCA